rnacentral:rRNA from 1 species
AACUCUUAGCGGUGGAGAUCACUCGGCUCGUGAGUCGAUGAAGAACGCAGCUAGCUGCGAGAACUAAUGUGAAUUGCAGGACACAUUGAUCAUUGACACUUCGAACAGCACUUUGCGGCCCCAGGUUCCUCCUGGGGCUACGCCUGUCUGAGGGUCC